AAGUUGGUGGCUGAGUGGUUAAUGUGAUUGACAACUGAUCCAUUGUGCUUUGCAUGCAUGGGUUCAAAUCCCAUUCUGCUGC
rnacentral:tRNA from 1 species